rnacentral:rRNA from 1 species
AGACGUCUACAUUAGAUACCCGGGUAGUCCCAGCCGUAAACUAUGCGCGUUAGGUGUAUCGGUGACCACGAGUUACCGAGGUGCCGAAGGGAAACCGUGAAACGUGCCGCCUGGGAAGUACGGUCGCAAGGCUGAAACUUAAAGGAAUUGGCGGGGAGCACCACAACAGGUGGAGCCUGCGGUUUAAUUGGACUCAACGCCGGGAAGCUCACCGGAUAAGACAGCGGAAUGAUUGCCGGGCUGAAGACUCUGCAUGACUAGCUG